rnacentral:rRNA from 1 species
AAGGGCACCACAAGAACGCGUGGAGCAUGUGGCUUAAUUUGACUCAACGCGGGAAAUCUUACCGGGUCCGGACACACUGAGGAUUGACAGGCAAUAUUAAUAUUUACUUCGGUAUUAUAUUAUGUUAAAUAUGCUAGUCCUUUCAUGAUUAUGUGAUAGGUGGUGCAUGGCCGUUCUUAGUUCGUGGAGUGAUCUGUCUGCUUAAUUGCGUUUCACUAAGGGCCUAUAAAUUACGUGUGUUGCGGCACUUUGACCCCUCUUUUUUAAAGAGCGCGCGUCUUAGUUUGUUUAGCUCACACAAUUAGGUCCUGAAAGCAACGAACGUGACCGCAACCUCUUGUUGCCUUUAUACCAAACAUGCAUGAAUUUAUUCUUGCGUGAAAAAAGGCUUUUUAAACUAGAGGGACCGCUGUUACUUUCUUAAACCAGAGGAAGGUUGCGGCAAUAACAGGUCUGUGAUGCCCUUAGAUGUUCCGGGCUGCACACGUGCUACAAUGAUUAUUGCAGUGAGCAUCUCAUUUUUUACACACCGCAUACGCGAGUCCAUUUAUUCACUUCGGGUGAUUUAAAUGUGUAUCUCUGCGAGCGGUAAAGCCUGCUUCGAGAGUAAGUGGGUAAUCAAUUAGAAGUAAUGAUUUCCUUUUUUUUAGCACACAUAUAUACGGCGUUUACACCCGGGCUGCCUUGUUGUAGCUUUUGUGCGUAUAGAUGUUUUUUCCGUAUGUGCGAUUGUCAAUUCAUGGUGGGGACAGACCAUUGUUAAUUGUUGGUCUCGGUCUUAACUAGGAAUGCCUUGUACGGGUCUUUGGUUCAACAAACCACCCGGAAUACGUCCCUGCCCUUUGUACACACCGCCCGUCGCUCUUACCGAUGGACUUCUCUGUGAGUUUGAGGGACUGGGAACGCAGAUUUUAUCUGCACACCUAUGGAAACUUAAACGAACAGUGUGGUCUAAAGGAAAGAGAAGUCGUAACAAGGCAUCGGUAGGUGAACCU